AGAGUUUGAUCAUGGCUCAGAUUGAACGCUGGCGGCAUGCCUUACACAUGCAAGUCGAACGGUAACAGGCCGCAAGGUGCUGACGAGUGGCGAACGGGUGAGUAAUGCAUCGGAACGUGCCCAGUAGUGGGGGAUAGCCCGGCGAAAGCCGGAUUAAUACCGCAUACGACCUGAGGGUGAAAGGGGGGGAUCGCAAGACCUCUCGCUAUUGGAGCGGCCGAUGUCAGAUUAGCUAGUUGGUGGGGUAAAGGCCUACCAAGGCAACGAUCUGUAGUUGGUCUGAGAGGACGACCAGCCACACUGGGACUGAGACACGGCCCAGACUCCUACGGGAGGCAGCAGUGGGGAAUUUUGGACAAUGGGCGCAAGCCUGAUCCAGCAAUGCCGCGUGCAGGAAGAAGGCCUUCGGGUUGUAAACUGCUUUUGUCAGGGAAGAAAUCUUCUGGGUUAAUACCUCGGGAGGAUGACGGUACCUGAAGAAUAAGCACCGGCUAACUACGUGCCAGCAGCCGCGGUAAUACGUAGGGUGCGAGCGUUAAUCGGAAUUACUGGGCGUAAAGCGUGCGCAGGCGGCUUUGCAAGACAGAGGUGAAAUCCCCGGGCUCAACCUGGGAACUGCCUUUGUGACUGCAAGGCUAGAGUACGGCAGAGGGGGAUGGAAUUCCGCGUGUAGCAGUGGAAUGCGUAGAUAUGCGGAGGAACACCAAUGGCGAAGGCAAUCCCCUGGGCCUGUACUGACGCUCAUGCACGAAAGCGUGGGGAGCAAACAGGAUUAGAUACCCCGGUAGUCCAA
rnacentral:rRNA from 1 species